AUUGAACGUUGGCGGCAGGCCUAACACAUGCAAGUCGGACGGUAGCACAGAGGAGCUUGCUCCUCGGGUGACGAGUGGCGGACGGGUGAGUAAUGUCUGGGGAUCUGCCCGAUAGAGGGGGAUAACCACUGGAAACGGUGGCUAAUACCGCAUAACGUCGCAAGACCAAAGAGGGGGACCUUCGGGCCUCUCACUAUCGGAUGAACCCAGAUGGGAUUAGCUAGUAGGCGGGGUAAUGGCCCACCUAGGCGACGAUCCCUAGCUGGUCUGAGAGGAUGACCAGCCACACUGGAACUGAGACACGGUCCAGACUCCUACGGGAGUCAGCAGUGGGGAAUAUUGCACAAUGGGCGCAAGCCUGAUGCAGCCAUGCCGCGUGUAUGAAGAAGGCCUUCGGGUUGUAAAGUACUUUCAGCGGGGAGGAAGGCGAUAAGGUUAAUAACCUUGUCGAUUGACGUUACCCGCAGAAGAAGCACCGGCUAACUCCGUGCCAGCAGCCGCAGUAA
rnacentral:rRNA from 1 species